UGGCUUAGUUGGUUAAAGCGCCUGACUAGCGAUACGGAGUCGUGGGUUCGAUUCCCAC
rnacentral:tRNA from 1 species